AACAUACAAAACAAAAAACUUCCUGUUUCUCCCCAGAAUAAUCCCUCAGGCAGAGCAAGCAUGGGAUCACCACCUUUCCCAGACCCCCUCCAAAACACAAAUCCCUGCAGCAGAGGGGCUGUCCUGGCAGCCCACUCACUCAUAGAGGGCCCUGCUUCACAAGUGACAGCAAUUAGCUAAUAGCAAUUAGCUAAUCAAUGAAAUGAGGCCAGCUGUAGCUUGUUGGGGACAGACUUGCCUUUUCAGUUUGCUGCCCAAGUGUUGUUUCUGUGCUGGGUGUUUGGGGCUGCACCAUCCUGAGACAGGACUGAGUGAAACAGGUGAAAUUACCUUGAAACACAAGCAGCUCCUCUCCUCAUCUACAUUUACUGAAGUGUGGAAAGCAAAUAGCCCAGCUCAUUGCAGCCUGACAGGAUGAUGGAUGUUCAGGGACAAACACCCUCAUGGGUUUUUUGGGGGUCAAAUCAGACAGUGCAUCAGACUCUCCCACUUGUCUGGGUUUUCAGCGGCAUUGGAGCAAGCAACUGCAUCCCAGCUCCCAAUUUUUAAGCUUUUCCAUCCACCCCAUUGCAGUCCCAAUGACCAAAAGGCCAGUGAGAGCCUGUAACUCUGGCAGCAGGACAAACCUUUUCCUCCCACAGCUGUCUGUCCAUAACUA